CCUACGGGAGGCAGCAGUGGGGAAUCUUGCGCAAUGGGCGAAAGCCUGACGCAGCAACGCCGCGUGCGGGAUGAGGGCCUUCGGGUUGUAAACCGCUUUCAGCAGGGACGAAAAUGACGGUACCUGCAGAAGAAGCCCCGGCUAACUACGUGCCAGCAGCCGCGGUAAUACGUAGGGGGCAAGCGUUGUCCGGAUUUAUUGGGCGUAAAGAGCUCGUAGGCGGUUCCGUAAGUCGAGUGUGAAAAAUCUGGGCUCAACCCAGUGGAGCACUCGAUACUGCGGUGACUAGAGUACGGUAGAGGAGUGUGGAAUUCCUGGUGUAGCGGUGAAAUGCGCAGAUAUCAGGAGGAACACCAACGGCGAAGGCAGCACUCUGGGCCGGUACUGACGCUGAGGAGCGAAAGCGUGGGGAGCAAACAGGAUUAGAUACCCUGGUAGUCCACGCCGUAAACGUUGGGCACUAGGUGUGGGAAGGAAUCAACCCUUUCCGUGCCGUAGCUAACGCAUUAAGUGCCCCGCUGGGGAGUACGGCCGCAAGGCAAACGUCAAAGGAAUUGACGG
rnacentral:rRNA from 1 species